UACGUAGGGUGCGAGCGUUAAUCGGAAUUACUGGGCGUAAAGCGUGCGCAGGCGGCUUUGCAAGACAGAUGUGAAAUCCCCGGGCUCAACCUGGGAACUGCAUUUGUGACUGCAAGGCUAGAGUACGGCAGAGGGGGAUGGAAUUCCGCGUGUAGCAGUGAAAUGCGUAGAUAUGCGGAGGAACACCAAUGGCGAAGGCAAUCACCUGGGCCUGUACUGACGCUCAUGCACGAAAGCGUGGGGAGCAAACAGG
rnacentral:rRNA from 1 species